UUUGCUGAGGAUGGUGGUUGCUGUGCUGAGGUGUCUCCAUUUAAUUGGCUGGAGUUUGGUCGUCAUUCUCGUGCGCUUCGCGUGCUUCCGCCAAGAAGAGGAGAGCUGGACUUCCUGCUGUUGUCCGAGAAGAAGUGAGGAAGGACCUUCGAUUUUGAGAAGGAACCGUUCCUCAGUGCCGUCAGUACGCCAAGAAGAGGAGAGCUGGACUUCCUGCUGUUGUCCGAGAAGAAGUAAGGAAGGACCUUCGGUUUUGAGAAGGAACCGUUCCUCAGUGCCGUCAGUACCCUUUCCCUCGUCAGUAGCUUGCUAGCUGAGCUUAUGACGGUUGCUGAUGGCUUGAUCGAUGGCAAGUGCUGGGUGAUGGGCUCAAUGUGGGUUGCCAUGAUUUGACAACAUUGCCCUUCUUUUGAAACCAAAACCGCUCUAUCUUGCUGCCCUUCUUCCUUGUCUUUGCGAUUUGUGAGUCUCGCCUCUCCUCUGGACAGCUGCCGAAGAACACAUUUUUUCUGGUGAAAUAUUACAAAUUUUUUGGUCAGUCAUGUACUGCCUACCGUGCUAAUGUUAGAACCACUCAGUGUUCAGCUUCUAAACAAAAUUGCUUUGCCGAGCCUGCAAAUAUUACUCUCGUCUUUCCUUCUGGAGGAUUAGGUGGCUGUCAACAUGAAGCAUGUUGUUGGCAAGUUGAGUUGGAGGCUGAAAGAUUUAGGAUUGCUGUUACAGCUGAAGCUCAGAGCAUUUUUUAUGCUCUGUCCAAAACGGACUAGACCAUCAUGGGUGGGGCUUGAGGCAGCUGCUUGGUUGCAAAUAGCAUCCGGGAAUGCAUCCACUUUUCCUCUCUACUCCCACUCACUCAAAUCAGUUCUGGGAUUUAACCAGCAUGCUUGGGGUGGCUAAUGAUAUUGGGGAAAACAUGGGUUUGCUUCCAGGCCAUGCUUACAAGAAGUUUCCACCUUUGGUCAUUCUCCCUAUUGGCGCUUUUGCAUGUUUCUUCGGUUUUGGGGUUCUCUGGCUUGCUCUGUCCAGGACUAUUCCUUCGUUUCCUCAUUGACUGGUAACAUUCGUUUCCUGGUUUUUCUUGGGAAAAAAUUGCUCAUCUUAAUUUGAUUGCCUCCUUUUUAUUUGGAUAACUCUUUCCCUGUAAAGAUAUAGUCUUUAUUUUGAAUGGCUGUGGUAUAAUUUUGCUGACAUAUCCAUCAUGUAUGCCUUAUCAUCGACUACCUUCACAGUUUUGAUCUUUGAUGAUAAUGGAGUCGAGAGAGUCUUUCCAUGGUCUUGUAUCUUCAAAGUUUAUUCUGAUUGUCCUGCUUGUACCUAGCAUCUGCAGUAUGGUUUUGUCUACAAACUAAAUUCGCUUUUCUCUUGAAGUUCUUCAUCACACAUGUUCCAAACUUUUAUUUAAUUAAAGCACACUCUACAUUCCUGCUAAACAUGACUGCAUUUCGAUGAAAUUAAGCAUGCACCAAGUACAUUAUAAAUACCCAACAUCUAUUAUUGCUGCUACCUUUUCCCGCAUAAUCAGAGAUUAAUCGUUAACUAAUUUCAUAUCAAUGGCCUGUUAUGGCAUAAAACUCGAGUCCGCUCCCCCUUUAUUCUCAGCGUACACCAACUUUAUACCAUGUAUCACACUUCCAUUGUCCUGUCCAGAAUUGUUGCGUUAAUCCUUCCAAUUUUCAUUUUCAUGCAGACAAUUGAAUAAACGAUAUAGAAACAAUUCAACAAUGUCAAAUUAAUGCUUGUUGUAAAUUUAAAAAUGCCACAAAUAAUCAAUCCUCCACAGAAUAAUAGAAAAUAUUAAUAGUGUUUACUCAUUGUUUAAUACUUUUAAAUCUCCCAUUUACUUCUCCCAACACUCCAUCCCAUUUGUACAUGAAGCAGAAUCAUACUGAUGCACUUCAAUUUUUUUCGCCUCAAUUGUUUUCUUUUCGAUCUUUUUCUCAGCACCACCAUGUUAGAUGCACACCUUUAUUUGCUCACGCUUUCUUAUGAUGCUGCCUAUUUAAAAGUUUAAUCAUUUUAUAACGAAAUAACUUAAAUGCAAUUCAUCCAAAUCAUGAUAUCUCCACUUAUGAAUUUGGGCAUU